GAUGAACGCUGGCGGCGUGCCUAAUACAUGCAAGUCGAGCGAACAGACGAGGAGCUUGCUCCUCUGACGUUAGCGGCGGACGGGUGAGUAACACGUGGAUAACCUACCUAUAAGACUGGGAUAACUUCGGGAAACCGGAGCUAAUACCGGAUAAUAUAUUGAACCGCAUGGUUCAAUAGUGAAAGACGGUUUUGCUGUCACUUAUAGAUGGAUCCGCGCCGCAUUAGCUAGUUGGUAAGGUAACGGCUUACCAAGGCAACGAUGCGUAGCCGACCUGAGAGGGUGAUCGGCCACACUGGAACUGAGACACGGUCCAGACUCCUACGGGAGGCAGCAGUAGGGAAUCUUCCGCAAAGGGCGAAAGCCUGACGGAGCAACGCCGCGUGAGUGAUGAAGGUCUUCGGAUCGUAAAACUCUCUUAUUAGGGAAGAACAAAUGUGUAAGUAACUAUGCACGUCUUGACGGUACCUAAUCAGAAAGCCACGGCUAACUACGUG
rnacentral:rRNA from 1 species